AUACGGAGGAUCCGAGCGUUAUCCGGAUUUAUUGGGUUUAAAGGGAGCGUAGGUGGACAGUUAAGUCAGUUGUGAAAGUUUGCGGCUCAACCGUAAAAUUGCAGUUGAUACUGGCUGUCUUGAGUACAGUAGAGGUGGGCGGAAUUCGUGGUGUAGCGGUGAAAUGCAUAGAUAUGACGAAGAACACCGAUUGCGUAGGCAGCUGACCAGACCGCAAAUGACGCUCAUGCACGAAAGUGCGGGGAUCGAACAGGAUUAGAUACCCUGGUAGUCCGCACAGUAAACGAUGAAUACUCGCUGUUUGCGAUACACGGUAAGCGGCCAAGCGAAAGCGUUAAGUAUUCCACCUGGGGAGUACGCCGGCAACGGUGAAACUCAAAGGAAUUGGCGGGG
rnacentral:rRNA from 1 species